GUGUGAAUUGGCAGAAUUCAGUGAAUCAUCGAAUCUUUGAACGCACCUUGCGCCCCUUGGCAUUCCGAGGGGCACACCCGUUUGAGUGUCGUG
rnacentral:rRNA from 1 species